rnacentral:lncRNA from 1 species
UUCACGAUCGCGUUAGUAGCUAGAAAAUAUGGUUGUUCAAUAGAGCCAUUGGAUUUGUCUCAACGAUGUUCCUAUCUGCCACGACAUUGCAGGAUAUCUAGUUUUACUCAUUUUCUCUGGCUUUGUAAAUAUUGCAGUCUGACGGAAGCCCUACUUCCUUGUCCAAUUGUGUUCCCACCCUCAAAGGAAUACACUGCUGAGGAUUUGGGACAGCAAGAACAAGAAUUGCGAGACCUGCAAGCGGCGACAGCUGCAGCCGCUACCGCUGCUCCCGAUCCUGUGGAGACACAGACGGUCAGACUCCGACUGGUGGUGCCUAUGCGGGUGCUGUCCAGCCAUGCCAACAGAAGAGGAAUGUCUGUGCUGCAACAAAUUACAUCGCGGACAGUUCUAACUGGAGAGGCUCAAUGCAGACCCCAUGGAUCAUGUGUAUGUGACAGACCAUUGGUGUUACAUAUAGAUACAGGGGUGCUGGAGAUGUUCUUCAGAACCUCCCAUAUCAACUGGCAGCGGCAGCCUAGACAAGCUGGACCAGGAGGGCAUAUGAUUAACAAACAAUAACGGUUGGUGGCCUACAGAUUAUUUUUGGAGUGAGUUCUACGUGGCGAGAAGCUACGCAGAGGACACCGAAUCCCCUUGCCUGGGGGUGUUGUUGAGGCCAUAGCAAUUUAUCCCUCACACGAUAGACAUCCUCCCGGUUGUGACCCUUGCCUGUCUGGACUCUGAACCCGCCUGCCUGACCAAUCUGCCUGCCCUGACCUCGAGCCAGCCUGCCACUCUGUACCUUCUGGACUCUGACCUGGUUUUGAUCUUUUGCCUGUCCAUGACCAUUCUCUUGCCUACCC